rnacentral:rRNA from 1 species
UACGAAGGGGGCUAGCGUUGCUCGGAAUCAUUGGGCGUAAAGGGCGCGUAGGCGGCGCAGCUAGUCAGGCGUGAAACCCCCCGGGCUCAACCCGGGGACUGCGUUUGAUACGGCUGUGCUAGAGGAUGGAAGAGGGCCGCGGAAUUCCCAGUGUAGAGGUGAAAUUCGUAGAUAUUGGGAAGAACACCGGUGGCGAAGGCGGCGGCCUGGUCCUUCUGACGCUGAGGCGCCGACAG